CCUACGGGGGCUGCAGUGAGGAAUAUUGGUCAACGGACGAGAGUCUGAACCAGCCAAGUAGCGUGAAGGAUGACUGCCCUAUGGGUUGUAAACUUCUUUUAUAUGGGAAUAAAAUGUUCCACGUGUGGGAUUUUGUAUGUACCAUAUGAAUAAGGAUCGGCUAACUCCGUGCCAGCAGCCGCGGUAAUACGGAGGAUCCGAGCGUUAUCCGGAUUUAUUGGGUUUAAAGGGAGCGUAGGUGGAUUGUUAAGUCAGUUGUGAAAGUUUGCGGCUCAACUGUGAAAUUGCAGUUGAAACUGGCAGUGUGGAGUACAGUAGAGGUGGGCGGAAGUCGUGGGGUAGCGGUGAAAUGCUUAGAUAUCACGAAGAAGUCCGAUUGCGAAGGCAGUUGAGUGGACUGCAACUGACACUGAGGCUCGAAAGUGUGGGUAUCAAACAGGAUUAGAUACCCCUGUAGUC
rnacentral:rRNA from 1 species